rnacentral:rRNA from 2 species
GGGUUGUGAGGUUAAGCGACUAAGCGUACACGGUGGAUGCCCUGGCAGUCAGAGGCGAUGAAGGGCGUGCUAAUCUGCGAUAAGCGCCGGUAAGGUGAUAUGAACCGUUAUAACCGGCGAUACCCGAAUGGGGAAACCCAGUGUGACUCGUCACACUAUCAUUAACUGAAUCCAUAGGUUAAUGAGGCGAACCGGGGGAACUGAAACAUCUAAGUACCCCGAGGAAAAGAAAUCAACCGAGAUUCCCCCAGUAGCGGCGAGCGAACGGGGAGGAGCCCAGAGCCUGAAUCAGCAUGUGUGUUAGUGGAAGCGUCUGGAAAGGCGCGCGAUACAGGGUGACAGCCCCGUACACAAAAGCGCAUGUGCUGUGAGCUCGAUGAGUAGGGCGGGACACGUGGUAUCCUGUCUGAAUAUGGGGGGACCAUCCUCCAAGGCUAAAUACUCCUGACUGACCGAUAGUGAACCAGUACCGUGAGGGAAAGGCGAAAAGAACCCCGGCGAGGGGAGUGAAAAAGAACCUGAAACCGUGUACGUACAAGCAGUGGGAGCCCCACCACCAAAGCAUUUGCUGUACCGCGUUGACGGAGCGAAGCG